rnacentral:misc_RNA from 1 species
UGGCAUAUGGACCUCUUCCAGA